rnacentral:rRNA from 1 species
AGUGAACGCUGGCGGUAGGCCUAACACAUGCAAGUCGAACGGCAGCACAGUAAGAGCUUGCUCUUACGGGUGGCGAGUGGCGGACGGGUGAGGAAUACAUCGGAAUCUACUUUUUCGUGGGGGAUAACGUAGGGAAACUUACGCUAAUACAGCAUACGACCUACGGGUGAAAGCAGGGGAUCUUCGGACCUUGCGCGAAUGAAUGAGCCGAUGUCGGAUUAGCUAGUUGGCGGGGUAAAGGCCCACCAAGGCGACGAUCCGUAGCUGGUCUGAGAGGAUGAUCAGCCACACUGGAACUGAGACACGGUCCAGACUCCUACGGGAGGGAGCAGUGGGGAAUAUUGGACAAUGGGCGCAAGCCUGAUCCAGCCAUACCGCGUGGGUGAAGAAGGCCUUCGGGUUGUAAAGCCCUUUUGUUGGGAAAGAAAAGCAGCAGGUUGAUACCCCGCUGUUCUGACGGUACCCAAAGAAUAAGCACCGGCUAACUUCGUG